ensembl:lncRNA
AGCACUGUGAGAGACGAGAGGGGACUUUGGGCCCCGUGCUCGUUCCUUUCCUGACCUCUCUGGGGAUCUCAUCAUCACUUUUAUCAGCAGGAAUGCAUUUAUGGCACUUUGUCAUCGGUGAGAAAAACCUGCUGUGUGAAGCUGGGCUCCCCCCGGAACCCCAGAGCUGAUGGAAGGAAGGUCCUGGAACCUGGGCACAAAGCAGCCUUAAGCUUUUUGUUGGAGGCAGAGCGAAGUGUGACAGCUGUAAUGGGAGAGUGGGUAAAUGUGACCAAAAGCCCGGCCUGAAGUUCACAGCGAAACUGAAGUGCUGCACCACUUUCAAGGAGGAGAAUUUGGGCCAAGGAUUCAGCGACGGACAUCUGAAGAACUCAGAAAAAAACAACAACCAAGGGAUGGGGAAAACAGAACAAAGGAAGAGACCGGCUCCCUUUCACAGCCACCUCCUUCUCUUACGGCUCCUCAGCAGACACGUGAGCGAGCUCCUGCGGGGUGGGUGCCACGCGCACUGAGAGCAGAGUGCUGCAGACCCGUGCUCCGAGCAGGCGGCAGACGGACAGGAGCAGCGCUGCCUGACUCCGGGCUGACCCAGGAACCCAAGAUUUUUGGCAUAGUGGUCUUGACCUCUCCUUUCUGUCCUGUCAGCUGUUAUUUCCCAGUGCCCUUGGAUAGGCUGAAUUUGCUCUUCCUCGCGGCCUUUAUAUAGUUCCCCCCUCCCCAUACUUCUGUUAGGCUUUUAGAUCUUUGGGCGAAUCUUGGAACUGCGGAUUAAAAUCCCACAUCUCAGCUUUUAUGAAAAGAUUUGCCGAGGUCUGGGUGUUGCUGGAAGCCUGAUAUUCUGCACCAUUUACUGGCUGUGAAUUAUGUAGAUACUCAUAUUUUUAAUUUCCUUUCAUUUAGUUGUGUGUGCAGGACCUCUGUCAUGACCAGCAGGGAACUCUCCUGGGUACAAAGAGGCUAUUCAGCUCCUGUGCCAACCCUGGCUCGUAAAAGCCUGACAGCUCUCAACAAACAAAGCCUAGAAAUGUUGCUAUUAAAAGCAUUUAUUGAAUAAAUCCAUAUGUGACAAAAUGAUAGCUGCAAAAAGCGGUGGAAUUGUUUUUUAAUGGAUAAAUCUUAUUUGAAAAGUAAAGCAGAGCUGCAGAAGCUCAGAGAACAGUCACCUGAGGAUAGAGCUUUGAGCAACGUGGGAAAAAUUAGAACCACUCUGAACAAUAUAGGAGAUAAUAGUUUGCAGAACAUGUCUGCUUUGAGUGGGAGCUUUUAUGUAAAGAAAAGAGAGGAUAAGCCUGGCUUUAACUUUUGUGUUUGAACGCUCUCACAAAUAGAGGUAGGAGAGCAAAUCUUCAUUCCCUUCAGCAAACCCACAGCAGCUGGAAACAGGAGGACCCCUGUUCUGCAUAGGGUCGGUGGGCUGCAAAGGGCACCGUGGGCAGACCCCUGUCUCCCAGCCAGCUGCGUGGUGGGCUGCAAGGCCUUAUGCCUGCCUUUGCACCUUGUCUGUGUGCAGAGACACCACUGCAGUGUGCCCUGCCUGAUGCACUCUCUUCUCCUCUCCCCUUGAGAGGGAAGGAAAAGGGCUGCCUGCCCAGGAAGGGGCUCUGUAGGGUUUUCCCUAUUCCCAUGGCACAGCAC